rnacentral:rRNA from 1 species
GAGUUUGAUCUGGCUCAGGAUGAACGCUAGCGAUAGGCUUAACACAUGCAAGUCGAGGGGCAUCACGAGGUAGCAAUACUUUGGUGGCGACCGGCGUACGGGUGCGUAACACGUAUGCAACCUUCCUGUAAGUGUGGGAUAGCCUCCUGAAAGGGAGAUUAAUACCUCAUGAUAUGUAUUUGCUGCAUGGCAUUUACAUUAAACAUUUAUGGCUUACAGAUGGGCAUGCGUUCCAUUAGGCAGUUGGUGUGGUAACGGCUCACCAAACCUACGAUGGAUAGGGGUUCCGAGAGGAAGGUCCCCCACACUGGAACUGAGACACGGUCCAGACUCCUACGGGAGGCAGCAGUGAGGAAUAUUGGUCAAUGGGCGCGAGCCUGAACCAGCCACGUCGCGUGAAGGAUGACGGCCUUAUGGGUUGUAAACUUCUUUUACAGGGGAAUAAAGUGAGUCACGUGUGAUUUUUUGCAUGUACCCUGUGAAUAAGCAUCGGCUAACUCCGUGCCAGCAGCCGCGGUAAUACGGAGGAUGCGAGCGUUAUCCGGAUUUAUUGGGUUUAAAGGGUGCGUAGGCGGGAUAUUAAGUCAGCGGUGAAAGUUUUCGGCUCAACCUUAAAAUUGCCGUUGAAACUGUUAUUCUUGAGUGCAGUAGAGGUAGGCGGAAUUCGUUGUGUAGCGGUGAAAUGCGUAGAUAUAACGAGGAACUCCGAUUGCGUAGGCAGCUUACUAUAUUGCUACUGACGCUGAGGCAC